GACCGUCUCAGUUCGGAUUGCAGGCUGCAACUCGCCUGCAUGAAGCUGGAAUUGCUAGUAAUCGCGGAUCAGCAUGCCGCGGUGAAUACGUUCCCGGGCCUUGUACACACCGCCCGUCACACCAUGAGAGUCGGGAACACCCGAAGUCCGUAGUCUAACCGCAAGGAGGGCGCGGCCGAAGGUGGGUCCGGUAAUUGGGGUGAAGUCGUAACAAGGUAUC
rnacentral:rRNA from 1 species